rnacentral:rRNA from 1 species
GUAGGUGGCAAGCGUUGUCCGGAAUUAUUGGGCGUAAAGCGCGCACAGGCGGUUCUUUAAGUCUGAUGUGAAAGCCCACGGCUCAACCGUGGAGGGUCAUUGGAAACUGGAGAACUUGAGUACAGAAGAGGAAAGCGGAAUUCCACGUGUAGCGGUGAAAUGCGUAGAGAUGUGGAGGAACACCAGUGGCGAAGGCGGCUUUUCUGGUCUGUAACUGACGCUGAGGCGCGAAAGCGUGGGGAGCAAACAGGGAUUAGAUACCCUGGUAGUCCACGCCGUAAACGAUGAGUGCUAAGUGUUAGGGGGUUUCCGCCCCCUUAGUGCUGCAGCUAACGCAUUAAGCACUCCGCCUGGGGAGUACGGCCGCAAGGCUG